UACGGAGGGAGCUAGCGUUAUUCGGAAUUACUGGGCGUAAAGCGCACGUAGGCGGCUUUGUAAGUAAGAGGUGAAAGCCCAGAGCUCAACUCUGGAAUUGCCUUUUAGACUGCAUCGCUUGAAUCAUGGAGAGGUCAGUGGAAUUCCGAGUGUAGAGGUGAAAUUCGUAGAUAUUCGGAGGAACACCAGUGGCGAAGGCGGCUGACUGGACAUGUAUUGACGCUGAGGUGCGAAAGCGUGGGGAGCAAACAGG
rnacentral:rRNA from 1 species